rnacentral:rRNA from 1 species
AUACGGAGGAUCCGAGCGUUAUCCGGAUUUAUUGGGUUUAAAGGGUGCGCAGGCGGCCAUUUAAGUCAGCGGUUAAGUCGUGGGGCUCAACCCCAUUCUGCCGUUGAUACUGGGUGGCUUGAUUGCGGUCGAGGUUGGCGGAAUUCGUUGUGUAGCGGUGAAAUGCAUAGAUAUGACGGAGAACACCGAUUGCGUAGGCAGCUGACCAGACCGCAAAUGACGCUCAUGCACGAAAGUGCGGGGAUCGAACAGGAUUAGAUACCCUGGUAGUCCGCACAGUAAACGAUGAAUACUUGUUUUCGGCGAUAUAAUGUCGGAGGCAAAGCGAAAGCGAUAAGUAUUCCACCUAGGGAGUACGCCGGCAACGGUGAAACUUAAAGGAAUUGGCGGGG